AGAAGACUGCUCCGUCCAGCAGCAGACACAGAGAAAGAUGAUGGCCAACUCUCAGGAAACCAGAUCUCCCCUAAUCCCCAAAUUGUGUCUCCUGGGGAUCGUUAACCAAACAUCUUGUCCACAGCUUAAUUGCAGCCAAUUAUGCCAGCAGGGAAAAGUGCACCUUCAUUGUCUGGACACAAAGCAAAGCUGAGCAGGAGAGCUGGAUCAAUCUACUCAGAGAAAAUGUAACAAAUGGGGCUUUGUCAGAUUCAGGCGUCCUCACAGGGAUGACCUUCUGAUCUCCACCUCUGCCUCUCUUCGUAGCUGAGUGCAAAAAGCUCUGGGAAGAGCUCAUCCUUACCCCUGCAACCAGCUGUCCCACCAAGGCUGCUUCCUGGGACCAGCUCCAGCCUGAACAUCUCAGCCCAUUCCAGCUGGGCCAAACCAGCUCUGCCUUCCCAAAGCUGCUCUCAGCUCCUCUCCCAUCUGCUGCUCUCUGGCACAGAGGCAGCAGCAAGGCAGAGCCUUGGGUACCUGCCACCAACCCCGUUUUGCAUUCAAAGCCAUCUCACAUGUUGUCUUGAGCGCCCACUCAGCCCAGAGCAGCUGCAAUUCCAAAAAACCCCCACAGAAGUGGCAGAAGAUGAUACUCAAGGCAGUGUUAAGCACAAGUGAUCGGGCUGUGCACCAGCAAAAGCUCCCAGCUGCACAGUCCUCAGCUUCUCUGCUACAAUCUUAAGAGAGAAACUGCUAACCCUGCACUGACUUCGAGCUCGUUUGAAUCAAGUGUUAAUAAAGCCUCCUUCUGAUGUUU
rnacentral:lncRNA from 7 species